rnacentral:rRNA from 1 species
AUUGAACGCUGGCGGCAGGCCUAACACAUGCAAGUCGAACGAGUGGCGGACGGGUGAGUAAUGUCUGGGAAACUGCCCGAUGGAGGGGGAUAACUACUGGAAACGGUAGCUAAUACCGCAUACCAUCGGAUGUGCCCAGAUGGGAUUAGCUAGUAGUUGGGGUAACGGCUCACCUAGGCGACGAUCCCUAGCUGGUCUGAGAGGAUGACCAGCCACAAUGGAACUGAGAAACGGUCCAGAAUCCGAAGGGAGGGAGCAGUGGGGAAUAUUGGACAAUGGGCGCAAGCCGGAGGCAGCCAAGCCGCGUGUAUGAAGAAGGCCUUCGGGUUGUAAAGUACUUUCAGCGAGGAGGCGUUACCCGCAGAAGAAGCAACGGCUAACUCCGUGCCAGCAGGCGCGGUAAUAC